GACUGGUGCGUUUACGGAUUCACCAGCAUGACCCUAGAAUUUCAGGGGAGAGCCAAUCCUUCACCUUCAGGUGUAAACACAUGAACAAGU
rfam:Clostridium halophilum strain M1 genome assembly, contig: G325DRAFT_scaffold00008.8